rnacentral:rRNA from 1 species
CGACUUAUAUUCUGUAGCAAGGUUAACCGAAUAGGGGAGCCGAAGGGAAACCGAGUCUUAACUGGGCGUUAAGUUGCAGGGUAUAGACCCGAAACCCGGUGAUCUAGCCAUGGGCAGGUUGAAGGUUGGGUAACACUAACUGGAGGACCGAACCGACUAAUGUUGAAAAAUUAGCGGAUGACUUGUGGCUGGGGGUGAAAGGCCAAUCAAACCGGGAGAUAGCUGGUUCUCCCCGAAAGCUAUUUAGGUAGCGCCUCGUGAAUUCAUCUCCGGGGGUAGAGCACUGUUUCGGCAAGGGGGUCAUCCCGACUUACCAACCCGAUGCAAACUGCGAAUACCGGAGAAUGUUAUCACGGGAGACACACGGCGGGUGCUAACGUCCGUCGUGAAGAGGGAAACAACCCAGACCGCCAGCUAAGGUCCCAAAGUCAUGGUUAAGUGGGAAACGAUGUGGGAAGGCCCAGACAGCCAGGAUGUUGGCUUAGAAGCAGCCAUCAUUUAAAGAAAGCGUAAUAGCUCACUGGUCGAGUCGGCCUGCGCGGAAGAUGUAACGGGGCUAAACCAUGCACCGAAGCUGCGGCAGCGACGCUGAUGCGUUGUUGGGUAGGGGAGCGUUCUGUAAGCCUGUGAAGGUGUGCUGUGAGGCAUGCUGGAGGUAUCAGAAGUGCGAAUGCUGACAUAAGUAACGAUAAAGCGGGUGAAAAGCCCGCUCGCCGGAAGACCAAGGGUUCCUGUCCAACGUUAAUCGGGGCAGGGUGAGUCGACCCCUAAGGCGAGGCCGAAAGGCGUAGUCGAUGGGAAACAGGUUAAUAUUCCUGUACUUGGUGUUACUGCGAAGGGGGGACGGAGAAGGCUAUGUUGGCCGGGCGACGGUUGUCCCGGUUUAAGCGUGUAGGCUGGUUUUCCAGGCAAAUCCGGAAAAUCAAGGCUGAGGCGUGAUGACGAGGCACUACGGUGCUGAAGCAACAAAUGCCCUGCUUCCAGGAAAAGCCUCUAAGCAUCAGGUAACAUCAAAUCGUACCCCAAACCGACACAGGUGGUCAGGUAGAGAAUACCAAGGCGCUUGAGAGAACUCGGGUGAAGGAACUAGGCAAAAUGGUGCCGUAACUUCGGGAGAAGGCACGCUGAUAUGUAGGUGAAGCGACUUGCUCGUGGAGCUGAAAUCAGUCGAAGAUACCAGCUGGCUGCAACUGUUUAUUAAAAACACAGCACUGUGCAAACACGAAAGUGGACGUAUACGGUGUGACGCCUGCCCGGUGCCGGAAGGUUAAUUGAUGGGGUCAGCGCAAGCGAAGCUCUUGAUCGAAGCCCCGGUAAACGGCGGCCGUAACUAUAACGGUCCUAAGGUAGCGAAAUUCCUUGUCGGGUAAGUUCCGACCUGCACGAAUGGCGUAAUGAUGGCCAGGCUGUCUCCACCCGAGACUCAGUGAAAUUGAACUCGCUGUGAAGAUGCAGUGUACCCGCGGCAAGACGGAAAGACCCCGUGAACCUUUACUAUAGCUUGACACUGAACAUUGAGCCUUGAUGUGUAGGAUAGGUGGGAGGCUUUGAAGUGUGGACGCCAGUCUGCAUGGAGCCGGCCUUGAAAUACCACCCUUUAAUGUUUGAUGUUCUAACGUUGACCCGUGAUCCGGGUUGCGGACAGUGUCUGGUGGGUAGUUUGACUGGGGCGGUCUCCUCCUAAAGAGUAACGGAGGAGCACGAAGGUUGGCUAAUCCUGGUCGGACAUCAGGAGGUUAGUGCAAUGGCAUAAGCCAGCUUGACUGCGAGCGUGACGGCGCGAGCAGGUGCGAAAGCAGGUCAUAGUGAUCCGGUGGUUCUGAAUGGAAGGGCCAUCGCUCAACGGAUAAAAGGUACUCCGGGGAUAACAGGCUGAUACCGCCCAAGAGUUCAUAUCGACGGCGGUGUUUGGCACCUCGAUGUCGGCUCAUCACAUCCUGGGGCUGAAGUAGGUCCCAAGGGUAUGGCUGUUCGCCAUUUAAAGUGGUACGCGAGCUGGGUUUAGAACGUCGUGAGACAGUUCGGUCCCUAUCUGCCGUGGGCGCUGGAGAACUGAGGGGGGCUGCUCCUAGUACGAGAGGACCGGAGUGGACGCAUCACUGGUGUUCGGGUUGUCAUGCCAAUGGCACUGCCCGGUAGCUAAAUGCGGAAGAGAUAAGUGCUGAAAGCAUCUAAGCACGAAACUUGCCCCGAGAUGAGUUCUCCCUGACUCCUUGAGAGUCCUGAAGGAACGUUGAAGACGACGACGUUGAUAGGCCGGGUGUGUAAGCGCAGCGAUGCGUUGAGCUAACCGGUACUAAUGAACCGUGAGG